AACGAACGCUGGCGGCAUGCCUAACACAUGCAAGUCGAACGAGACCUUCGGGUCUAGUGGCGCACGGUUGCGUAACGCGUGGGAACCUGCCCUUAGGUUCGGAAUAACUCCCCGAAAGGGGUGCUAAUACCGGUUAAUGUCUUCGGUCCAAAGAUUUAUCACCUUUGGAUGGGCCCGCGUUGGAUUAGCUUGUUGGUAGGGUAAAAGCCUACCAAGGCGACGAUCCAUAGCUGGUCUGAGAGGAUGAUCAGCCACACUGGGACUGAGACACGGCCCAGACUACUACGGGAGGCAGCAGUGGGGAAUAUUGGACAAUGGGCGAAAGCAUGAUCAAGCAAUGCGGCGUGAGUGAUGAAGGGCUUAGGGUUGUAAAGCUCUAUUACCCGGGAAGAUAAUGACAGUACCGGGAGAAUAAGCUCCGGCUAACUACGUG
rnacentral:rRNA from 1 species